UAAUUUGGCGCAUUUAAGUUCCUAAAAUUUGCGAUACAGAGAAGAUUAGCAGGGCCUCUGCGCAAAGAUGGCAUCCUCAGAUUAUUACGCUCAACGCAUUUUA